AUCGCGUCUUGUGUCAACGUUCCGUUCACUGGGCGUUACUUCGUUUUUGUCUUACACGUACGGAGGUUAUGGUAUAGGUAGGAAGAGACCUGUGAAUAGUCGAUGGAUUAAAGAGGUGUAGGAUAAAGGGGGAAUGUUUCGAUUUAAGUAGCACAAAGGCGUGAUAUAUUAUCUCUUAAAUAUAAUAAAACAUUGAGGUUCACCUUGAAACAAGAUUUCACUUGAAAAGAAAAUAAAUAGUCUUAUUUUAUAAAAGACAAGAGGUCACUUCGCGAACGGAUGCACGUUAAUUCUUUGAAUUCGUAAACGUUCUACUAGAUUACAUCACGCUGCGUUGACACUUACAAUUAGUACAGUGAACGAACGAAUGAACGAACGAACGAACGAACGAGCGAACGAACGAAUACGCAAAAUUUGCUUCGCGAUAUCGCAAUAGAGAUAAUCAAAGCAUAGCUUUUGCUAUUCUAUCGUUCGUAUUGAAAGUUGUUACGACUUCGACAUAUCCGAUGACAACGCUUUCUUGUUAAAAAUUUAAGAUAAAACACAAGGAUAAGGCACGAAUUUUACAA
rnacentral:lncRNA from 1 species